rnacentral:rRNA from 1 species
AGAGUUUGAUCCUGGCUCAGGAUGAACGCUGGCGGCGUGCUUAACACAUGCAAGUCGAACGGACAGGUAAUGAAACCUAGUGAUUUAUCUGUUAGUGGCGGACGGGUGAGUAACGCGUGGGUAACCUGCCGUAUACAGGGGGAUAACACUUAGAAAUAGGUGCUAAAACCGCAUAAGCGCACAGGAUCGCAUGGUCCGGUGUGAAAAACUCCGGUGGUAUACGAUGGACCCGCGUCUGAUUAGCUUGUUGGCGGGGUAGAGGCCCACCAAGGCGACGAUCAGUAGCCGGCCUGAGAGGGUGAACGGCCACAUUGGGACUGAGACACGGCCCAAACUCCUACGGGAGGCAGCAGUGGGGAAUAUUGCACAAUGGGGGAAACCCUGAUGCAGCGACGCCGCGUGAGUGAAGAAGUAUUUCGGUAUGUAAAGCUCUAUCAGCAGGAAAGAAAAUGACGGUACCUGACUAAGAAGCCCCGGCUAACUACGCG